UGCUAGGUAAAACUGAAUAUGUAGAACAAAAAAGAUGAUUUUCUUCGAUCUGCAGUUAAAUCACCAGUUUUGGGGUUUUUUUCUUCGGAAAAUGGUGUCUGGGAGCGGGUCAUAAAGUUAGACAGGUGAAGCGGAUGGGUGUUGGCCUGUGCUUACUGAACCAUACAGAUCCGCAGUCCCUUGAUAUAUUUUUAAAAGCUAGCAAGAGCAAAUUGACAAAAUCGGUCAGCUGUAGAGUCAUUUGUCAACUCGCUGUAAAAUGGCAGGCAAAAGCAAGCAGGAACCGGAAGUUGUGAUAGAGGAUGAAUUCGAGAGCCCGGAUAAACCUCUGUCGCCAUCGGAACGGGUUCUGUUCGGAAGUCUUGUGUUCUUUAUGUACAGUGUGUUCAUAGUCGCUGUGUGUCUAACUGCCAACUAUAACCAGUGACCAGCCGGUCCACGGUUUCAACACUGACUGGUGUAUCGACUACUCUUUUCAGACAUUGUUAGAUUCCAAAUAGACCGUCACUGUAACCAGAAGGGGAAUUUCCAUCGUGACGAAUUAUGCACGCCAACAGCUGUACAUUGUUUGUCCUCUAUAAUCAAGCUGACUAACUACUUCCAUAUUAUCUCCGAACUAUUGCUGAAGUAGAAAUUUCGAUGGGUUACUGCUUGAGUAUGAAUGACGAGAUAAUGUCAUUGAAAAUUAUGAUUGAUAUGUAAACUGAAAAUAAGGACAGUUAAGAAAUAAUCUGGCUUUCUGAUCGCUUCUCAACUUCAAUAUUAAGGUCGAAAUAAAUGUUCCUGUUGCAGCUUUUA